rnacentral:rRNA from 1 species
UACAGAGGGUGCGAGCGUUGUCCGGAAUCACUGGGCGUAAAGGGCGCGUAGGCGGCCUGAUAAGUAGGGGGGUGAAAUCUUGCGGCUCAACCGCAAGGCUGCCUUCUAAACUGUCAGGCUGGAGCACGGUAGAGGCAGAUGGAAUUCCCGGUGUAGCGGUGGAAUGCGUAGAGAUCGGGAAGAACACCAGUGGCGAAGGCGGUCUGCUGGGCCGUUGCUGACGCUGAGGCGCGACAGCGUGGGGAGCAAACAGG